rnacentral:rRNA from 1 species
GCGGCGCUACGACCGACGGGGCGACGGAUGGGGGUGGCUCGGCGGGGUUCUGGACGUCCCCGUGAUGGAGCGCGGCCCGCGGACCAGGGAAAUCCGGUCCGCACGAGGGCGAGGCUCCGGACGAAGCGAUCAAGCGAAGCGAGUGAGCCCGAGGUCCCUAGAAAAACCCCUAGGCAGGCGCGUGCGCGCCCGUACCGCAAACCGACACAGGUGGGUGGGUAGAACAUACCGAGGCGAUCGGGUCAACCAUGGUCAAGG